AUUGAACGCUGGCGGCAGGCCUAACACAUGCAAGUCGAACGAGUGGCGGACGGGUGAGUAAUGUCUGGGAAACUGCCCGAGGGAGGGGGAUAAAUACUGGAAACGGUAGCUAAUACCGCAUACCAUCGGAUGUGCCCAGAUGGGAUUAGCUAGUGGGUGGGGUAACGGCUCAACGAGGCGACGAUCCCUAGCUGGUCUGAGAGGAGGAACAGCCAUACUGGAACUGAGACACGGUCCAGACUCCUACGUGAGGCAGUAGUGGGGAAUAUUGCAAAAUGGGCGCAAGCCUGAUGCAGCCAUGCCGCGUGUAUGAAGAAGGCCUUCGGGUUGUAAAGUACUUUCAGCGAGGAGGCGUUACUCGCAGAAGAAGCACCGGCUAACUCCGUGCCAGCAGCCGCGGUAAUAC
rnacentral:rRNA from 1 species